ACUCCUACGGGAGGCAGCAGUGGGGAAUUUUGGACAAUGGGCGCAAGCCUGAUCCAGCCAUGCCGCGUGCGGGAAGAAGGCCUUCGGGUUGUAAACCGCUUUUGUCAGGGAAGAAAAGGUUCUGGCUAAUACCUGGGACUCAUGACGGUACCUGAAGAAUAAGCACCGGCUAACUACGUGCCAGCAGCCGCGGUAAUACGUAGGGUGCAAGCGUUAAUCGGAAUUACUGGGCGUAAAGCGUGCGCAGGCGGUUAUGCAAGACAGAGGUGAAAUCCCCGGGCUCAACCUGGGAACUGCCUUUGUGACUGCAUGGCUAGAGUACGGUAGAGGGGGAUGGAAUUCCGCGUGUAGCAGUGAAAUGCGUAGAUAUGCGGAGGAACACCGAUGGCGAAGGCAAUCCCCUGGACCUGUACUGACGCUCAUGCACGAAAGCGUGGGGAGCAAACAGGAUUAGAUACCCUGGUAGUCCCAUG
rnacentral:rRNA from 1 species